UGAGUAACGCGUGAGUAACCUGCCUUUCAGAGGGGGAUAACGUUCUGAAAAGAACGCUAAUACCGCAUGAGACUACAGAGCUGCAUGGCUCAGUGGUCAAAGGAGCAAUCCGCUGAAAGAUGGACUCGCGUCCGAUUAGAUAGUAGGCGGGGUAACGGCCCACCUAGUCGACGAUCGGUAGCCGGACUGAGAGGUUGAACGGCCACAUUGGGACUGAGACACGGCCCAGACUCCUACGGGAGGCAGCAUG
rnacentral:rRNA from 1 species